rnacentral:rRNA from 1 species
GAUGAACGCUGGCGGCGUGCCUAAUACAUGCAAGUCGAGCGAACGGACGAGAAGCUUGCUUCUCUGAUGUUAGCGGCGGACGGGUGAGUAACACGUGGAUAACCUACCUAUAAGACUGGGAUAACUUCGGGAAACCGGAGCUAAUACCGGAUGAUAUUUUGAACCGCAUGGUUCAAAAGUGAAAGACGGUCUUGCCGUCACUUAUAGAUGGAUCCGCGCUGCAUUAGCUAGUUGGUAAGGUAACGGCUUACCAAGGCAACGAUGCAUAGCCGACCUGAGAGGGUGAUCGGCCACACUGGAACUGAGACACGGUCCAGACUCCUACGGGAGGCAGCAGUAGGGAAUCUUCCGCAAUGGGCGAAAGCCUGACGGAGCAACGCCGCGUGAGUGAUGAAGGUCCUCGGAUCGUAAAACUCUGUUAUUAGGGAAGAACAUAUGUGUAAGUAACUGUGCACAUCUUGACGGUACCUAAUCAGAAAGCCACGGCUAACUACGUG